UAGGGAAUCUUCGGCAAUGGGCGAAAGCCUGACCGAGCAACGCCGCGUGAGCGAUGAAGGCCUUCGGGUCGUAAAGCUCUGUUGUUAGAGAAGAACAAGUACGAGAGUAACUGCUCGUACCUUGACGGUACCUAACCAGAAAGCCACGGCUAACUACGUGCCAGCAGCCGCGGUAAUACGUAGGUGGCAAGCGUUAUCCGGAAUUAUUGGGCGUAAAGCGCGCGCAGGCGGUCUCUUAAGUCUGAUGUGAAAGCCCACGGCUCAACCGUGGAGGGUCAUUGGAAACUGGGAGACUUGAGUGCAGGAGAGAAAAGUGGAAUUCCACGUGUAGCGGUGAAAUGCGUAGAGAUGUGGAGGAACACCAGUGGCGAAGGCGGCUUUUUGGCCUGUAACUGACGCUGAGGCGCGAAAGCGUGGGGAGCAAACAGGAUUAGAUACCCUGGUAGUCCACGCCGUAAACGUUGGGCACUAGGUGUGGGUCUCAACCAACGAGAUCCG
rnacentral:rRNA from 1 species